GGCGGUGGCUGCUGUGGUGAUUCCUCUAGGACUGCAAUUCCCCAUGUUGGGUUUCUGAAUGGUAAUCUGGAAGUGCUUUCAUUUCAUAUAUAUAUAUAUAUAUAUAGACAAGAAGACAAAUUCAGUAAUUUGCGGAGACAAGAGUUCAGAGCUGUGUUGCCAUGUGACUGCAGACCGUUGGGGAGGGCGGUGGUGGUGGUGGUGAUGGCAGAUUGGCAGGAGGAGAUUGAGUGGCUAAGGGAAACGACAGAGUUUGCUUGCAAUUCAAACUUGUGUGCUAUGGGGUUUGCAUUCUACCACUCAACUUGGUUUUUUUUUUGUAAUGUUCUUCAAGGGUUUUGGAAUAUUCCCCCAUUCAUCAUCUUCAUCUGUUGAAAUGCACAUGAUGAUGGUUUCAGGGAAUCUUUAGACCACAGCUCGACUCAUUUAUACAGACUCACUACUGGUUAUUAUUACAGUACAGUACUGAGUUUUGCACGUGUGGAUAGAGUUGUCGGGAGGCGCACUCGUGCGAAAGGUUUAAGGACGGAGUAUACUAGGAAAGUCCUAUUGGCAUGUGUUGACUUUGCUUUGGGCUUUUGGUUGGACCUUAGCUGAAGAAUUUAUGGGCUUAUAAUUUGCACCUGGUCUUUGGCGGCUUAAUACACUCGGACCACGUAUACCAAAUUAUGGGCUUAAAAGUUGCAACUAAGUUGCCACUAGAGCCUAUGAAUAUGAUCAGACUCGGCAGAAGCUGUUCGGUCAGUUGCUUCUACAUUUUUAGAUAUUCGUGUCGGCUUUAUUUAGUAGAGUGUCAUUGACUUCAUUUUAAUUCGUUUUUUUUGUCUAUGUAUCUUGAAAGGAUAAUAGUUUUGCUCAUUAUGUGACAAUAGAGGCCCUACAUUAUCCAUUUGCAGAACGUCUACUUGACUUACGAUAUUGUACUCCUUGUUAAAUAGGUCAUGUAACUCUUGUGUAUCAAAACUUACCUAAACUAGACAAACCAUAUAUUC
rnacentral:lncRNA from 1 species